AAUAUGCUAAUAAGCAUACGUACAAGUACAUUAAUAAGAACACGCCACUAUAUUUCAUUAACGGUUACUGCUUGACGUACCAAUUUUGAAAUUUGAAGAUUGUAUCUUUAUUGAGUUGAAUGUACAACUCAUGUUAAAAAAUAGUGUUUCAGUAUUCUUGGCGAACUUCUAGUUUUAACUUUACUGGAUAAGUUGAAACACACGUGAAGUUAGAGACGUGAAGUUAGAGAUUACACUCAGAAGCCACGUUGAAUUUAUUCUUGCGCAAUGCCUUUCCCACCAGAAACAAUAAACACCAAGACAACAAAUAUGGCUGAAGCGACUCGUUCACAUCACACGUGUACCACGUGCAAACAGAGACCGAAAACCAUGUUACUUCUGCCAUGCAGCCACCUGGCGGCCUGUGAACAAUGUGUCGCCGACAUGAGCUGCUGUCCGAUGUGCUCUAAAACUGUCAGCUGCGUACUACGAACUUUUAUCAUUUAAUUGGUUCAAAUAUCAAACAUCAAUUUAUCGUGACACUUUGUAUGUGGAAUGAUACGUUUUUAUGGUAGAGAAUCUGGUUGUUUUACUGUGUGUUUUUUUCCAGUUCAAUACAAGGUUUAUGUAUGUGUUGACAACUUCUUUUAUUGCAUCAGUUUGUAAAUAUAAGUAUAACACAUAAAUUCAUAAGUAGAUUCUUGUCAAAACGUAAACACCUUAAAUGACUGUUCAAUAGAUUUGUGCACAAUAUUGUGUUGAUAAACACAAUCCUGAAGUCUCGAUGAAUUAUAUAAAUUAUAAAUUUAAUUAUAAUUGCACGUAUUGGACUUUUAAAUGAACAUAAAAACGCACUAUUUAUUUGUAUGCUAUUGCUAGUUUAAUUGCUUAAUUUACAAAUAAUUGAAUUAUAAUAAAGCGUAAGUAAAACCUAGAUGGUAAAUUCAAUAUGUCGUUUUUAGGUUAUUUUUGAUAAUUAAUAUGUAUUUACCAUUUAAAAUCCGACCUCGCUAUUACAUUCAUACAAUGCACUCUAUAUUUAGAAUUAUAGAAUGAAAUAUUGGGAUUCCUUGAUAAUCGAUGUUUAC